rnacentral:rRNA from 1 species
UACGAAGGGGGCUAGCGUUGCUCGGAAUCGACUGGGCGUAAAGCGCACGUAGGCGGAUUGCUAAGUCAGGGGUGAAAUCCUGGAGCUCAACUCCAGAACUGCCUUUGAUACUGGCGACCUUGAGUCCGGGAGAGGUGAGUGGAACUGCGAGUGUAGAGGUGAAAUUCGUAGAUAUUCGCAAGAACACCAGUGGCGAAAGCGGCUCACUGGCCCGGUACUGACGCUGAGGUGCGAAAGCGUGGGGAGCAAACAGG